CUAAACACCAGAUUGAAACUGAACACUUAAUUGAUUGAGAAAGUGUCACCAUGUUACAGGCUGAACCUAACGAAUUUACAAGAUUAAUUGCUGAAAUGUUCUUUAUUAAGAAAAAUGUUUAAAUCAUUGAUAAAUCUCCGAACCCUUAUUAUAAAAAUUGAUGAUACGAUUGAUGAUACGAAAACCUAGUUUUUCUACAAUUACAAAAAUGAUUUAUUUAAUAUUAUUACUUUUUUUAAAUUUAUAUAAGUUCUAAAGGAACUUUUUUUCAAGAAAAUGAUUUUUAAAAUCUAAGUUGUAUCUACAAUGAAGACAAUUCUGUUGUUUUAUAUGAGAAAAUGGGAUUGAUGUAAGUUUUAACUACACGACCUUUAUUGUUUACUCGACUCAUGAUAUAAUGUGAACUUUAUUAUGACUUUGUCCUGAAGAGGAAAACGCUUAGUUUUUUAAGCACCGAACUGGAACUGGAAAUAAAGGAUAAUUACUCAACAUCUAUAAUCCUUUUGG